GUGCCCAAGCAUUGAGGCAGUCAAAGUAGGCAAAUCCGCUUUGAUAAUGCUGGGAUGUGAUGGGGAGCGAAAUUUAGUAGCGAAGUAGCUGAUUUCACACUGUCAAGAAAAGUCUCUAUCGAGGUUAAAGGUACCCGUACCGCAAACCGACACAGGUGGGUGAGGAGAGUAUCCUAAGGCCAGCGAGAGAACUGUUGUUAAGGAACUCGGCAAAAUGACCCCGUAACUUAGGGAUAAGGGGUGCCACCAUCAGGUGGCCGCAGAGAAUAGGCCCAAGCGACUGUUUACCAAAAACAUAGGUUUCUGCUAAGUCGCAAGACGAUGUAUAGGAGCUGACGCCUGCCCGGUGCUGGAAGGUUAAGGGGAUCUGUUAGAGCAAUCGAAGCAGUGAACUUAAGCCCCAGUAAACGGCGGCCGUAACUAUAACGGUCCUAAGGUAGCGAAAUUCCUUGUCGGGUAAGUUCCGACCCGCACGAAAGGCGUAACGAUUUGGGCACUGUCUCAACAACAGACUCGGUGAAAUUGUAAUUCCGGUGAAGAUGCCGGAUACCUGCGACAGGACGGAAAGACCCCAUGGAGCUUUACUGUAGCUUGACAUUGGGUCUUGGUACUACAUGUACAGGAUAGGUGGGAGGCUUUGAAACCAGGACGCCAGUUUUGGCGGAGCCAUCCUUGGGAUACCACCCUUGUAGUACUGGGACUCUAACCAUAGGCCAUGAAUCUGGUCUUGGGACACUGUCAGGUGGGCAGUUUGACUGGGGCGGUCGCCUCCCAAAAGGUAACGGAGGCGCUCAAAGGUUCUCUCAGUACGGUCGGAAAUCGUACGUAGAGUGUAAAGGCAAAAGAGAGCUUGAUUGCAAGACAUACAGGUCGAGCAAGGAUGAAAAUCGGACUUAGUGAUCCGGUGGUUCUGCGUGGAAGGGCCAUCGCUCAACGGAUAAAAGCUACCCUGGGGAUAACAGGCUUAUCUCCCCCAAGAGUCCACAUCGACGGGGAGGUUUGGCACCUCGAUGUCGGCUCAUCACAUCCUGGGGCUGUAGUAGGUCCCAAGGGUUGGGCUGUUCGCCCAUUAAAGUGGUACGCGAGCUGGGUUCAGAACGUCGUGAGACAGUUCGGUCCCUAUCCGUCGCAGGCGUAGGAAAUUUGAGAAGACCUGUCCUUAGUACGAGAGGACCGGGAUGGACG
rnacentral:rRNA from 1 species